rnacentral:rRNA from 1 species
CAGUCGCCGCGGGAAUACAGAGGAUGCAAGCGUUAUCCGGAAUGAUUGGGCGUAAAGAGUGCGUAGGUGGUCUACUAAGCGCGAGGUGAAAGGCAAUGGCUCAACCAUUGUUAGCCUUGCGAACUGGCAGACUUGAGUGCAAGAGAGGAAAGCGGAAUUCCUAGUGUAGCGGUGGAAUGCGCAGAUAUUAGGAGGAACACCGGCGGCGAAGGCGGCUUUCUGGAUUGUAACUGACACUGAGGCACGAAAGCGUGGGUAGCAAACAGGAUUAGAUACCCCUGUAGUCCUUGUCUCUUAUACA